CAAAAACGAGAAAUGACAAUUAAUAAGAAGGAAGAUACAGACAACAUUGCGGCAGCAUACAUAACUUGUUUACAAAAAUGAAAUUUUCAGUACUGACAAAACUACCACAUCAAGUGGUAUGGAUAUAUUUUCUUUUUUAGUGAUUAAGUAUUUAUACAUAUACAUAUCUAUGUUUGAAUAUCUAAACAAUAUAAAAUAAACACUACCCCUGAGGAUGCUAAAAAAGUUUUAGCGAAACGUCGGGUGAAAAGUGGAA